rnacentral:misc_RNA from 1 species
UUUCCGUAGGUGAACCUGCGGAAGGAUCAUUACUGAGUUUAUAACUCCCAAACCCUAUGUGAACUUACCACUUGUUGCUUCGGCGCGCGCUUCGGUGCCGCCGAGGACACUUAAACUCUUUGUUUUUAUAAGCAUUUCUGAGUGGCCGAAAGGCAAAAUACAAAUGAAUCAAAACUUUCAACAACGGAUCUCUUGGUUCUG